AGGGCGAUAGGUUUGUCAUAAAUUAACGAUCCGGCAAUUAAGAAACUACAAAUAUAUAAAUUAUUUCGAGUACGGUUUGAAGACAUUGUACAGUUAUUAAUUAUAACCGAUGCUUCUUUAACGAGGAAUGAACAAAACUAAACAAUUAAUAAACCAAAUUCUAAUUUACCUAAAUUGUUAAUAGACGCGGAUAAUCGCUGAUCCGUGAUGAAUGAAUCACUCUGUAUACACUAUGUUCACUUCCAGAAGCACGUUAAAAUAAUAUUAUUACACUCGCCCGUCGACGUCAUCGCCGCCGCCAUUUCAGUCCGUUUUUAAUUG